rnacentral:rRNA from 1 species
AUUGAACGCUGGCGGCAUGCUUUACACAUGCAAGUCGAACGGCAGCGCGGGCUUCGGCCUGGCGGCGAGUGGCGAACGGGUGAGUAAUGCAUCGGAACGUGCCCAGCAGUGGGGGAUAGCGCGGUGAAAGCCGGAUUAAUACCCCAUACGACCUGAAGGCGAAAGCGGGGGACCGAAAGGCCUCGCGCUAUUGGGGCGGCCGAUGUCGGAUUAGCUAGUUGGUGGGGUAAAGGCUUACCAAGGCGGCGAUCCGUAGCUGGUCUGAGAGGACGACCAGCCACACUGGGACUGAGACACGGCCCAGACUCCUACGGGAGGCAGCAGUGGGGAAUGUUGGACAAUGGGGGCAAGCCUGAUCCAGCCAUGCCGCGUGCGGGAAGAAGGCCUUCGGGUUGUAAAGCGCUUUUGUUCGGGAAGAAAUCCUCUGGGCUAAUACCCCGGGGGGAUGACGGUACCGGAAGAAUAAGCACCGGCUAACUACGUG